rnacentral:misc_RNA from 1 species
GAUGAAGAACGUAGUGAAAUGCGAUAAGUAAUGUGAAUUGCAGAAUUCAGUGAAUCAUCGAAUCUUUGAACGCACAUUGCGCCCGCCAGUAUUCUGGCGGGCAUGCCUGUUCGAGCGUCAUUACAACCCUCAGGCCCCCGGGCCUGGCGUUGGGGAUCGGCGGAAGCCCCCUGCGGGCACAACGCCGUCCCCCAAAUACAGUGGCGGUCCCGCCGCAGCUUCCAUUGCGUAGUAGCUAACACCUCGCAACUGGAGAGCGGCGCGGCCACGCCGUAAAACACCCAACUUCUGAAUGUUGACCUCGAAUCAGGUAGGAAUACCCGCUGAACUUAAGCAUAUCAAUAAGCGAGGA